AAAAGUUGUAUAAAAGGCGAGAGAAAAGUCGACAGGGAUCAGUCGAGCGAGUAUCUCCGACAUGGUAACAACUGCAGUGUACUAUUUCUUAUUUGCCAUCAGUUGCAUUCUUCAUCGUAUUUUCAGUUCUCAAUCAUGGUCGUACAUAAGGGCAAAGAAAAGGCGAAAGAAAUCAGUCAAAUGAGCAUCUCCGAUAUAGCAAAAGCAACUGCAAUGCACCGUGCACCAUUUGUCACCAACUGCAUUCUUCGUCGAAUUGCUAGUUUAUAUCAUGGCAAACUCUGGCGUCGUGCUGCAGUUUUGUGUUGUAUCGUUGAUGGCUGGGUCGGCCACUGGUGUACCGAUGUCUCCUGGGUAUGGCGACUAACAAAUCGAAACGGUGCCACCUUACAUACGACACGACCAGUUGCUACACCGAGGCCCCCAAGUACUGCACCAAUGCUCCAGAUUAUUAUACCACCACUGAUGCUGCCCUGAGCUACUACACCGAAUCCCCGCAAUAUUAUUUUUCCCCGAGCUACACUACCAAAGGAUCGAGUACUACACCGAGGCUUCGAAGUACUACACCACCAAGGCACCGGAGUACUGCACAACUACAUAUCAUGGCAACUACAGUGUCAAGGCUCAGUAUUACACCACAACUUAUGUUGCCCCGAGACUCUACACCAAAGCGCCUGAGUGCUGUACCGAGGGCACCAAUUUCUACACCACCAAGGCACCGGAGUACUACACUGAAACAUACGCUGCUCCAGCUUAUUACACCGAGGCUCCCCAACACUACACCACCAAGACACUGGAGUACUACACCACUACAUAUCACGUCGUAUGAAAGGAGCGAAAAGGUGAAAGAAUUCAGCAGCCCAGUGAGCAUCUCCGUUACAGCAACAGGAACUGCCGUGCACUUUUUGUCAUCAACUUCUUCGUCAUAUUACAAGUUUUAAAUAAAGUAAACUAUGGAGUAGUGCUGCUGUUGGGUGUUAUAUCGUUGAUGGCUGAGUCGACCACUGGUGUACCAAUGUCUCCUUGGUAUGGCGGGUACCAAAGCACAACACUGCCGUGCCGUCUUACUAUUUAGCAUCAACUUCCGCUGCUCCAGCUUACUGCACUAAGGCUCCUAAGUGCUACACCAUCAAGGCUCCAGAGUAUUACACCACAACUUGUGCUGCCCCGAUGUUACUACGCAGAAGCUCCGAAGUAUUUUUCUUCCCCGAGCUUCACUGCCUUCACCACGUCGCUUACUAAACAAUAACGUCAACACUUUCUUACUAUACGAAGGUCUCCAGUACUACGCCACAAAGGCUCCUGACUACUACACCGAGGAUCUAACUUGCACACAACGGAAGCGCCCAAGUACUGCACUACAACCUACGUUGCUCCAGCUUACACCACGAAGGCAGCGGAGUACUACACCACGAAGGCAGCGGAGUACUACACCACGAAGGCAGCGGAGUACUACACCACGAAGGCAGCGGAGUACUACACCACGAAGGCAGCGGAGUACUACACCACGAAGGCAGCGGAGUACUACACCACGAAGGCAGCGGAGUACUACACCACGAAGGCAGCGGAGUACUACACCACGAAGGCAGCGGAGUAGUACACCACUACUUACGUUACUACCUACACCGAAGCUCUGAAAGCAUUUCUCUGCCCCGACUUACUACACCACUAACGCAGCCGAAUAAACACCCCAAACUACGAUUCCUCAAUUUUCUACAAAGAAAUUCCUUAUUUUCUAGAGCCGAAAUUUCUACUCAAGGUUAUUUAUAUUUAUCGGUUAUUUUCAUGGUAAUUGGUCUCUGGGAAUUAAUUGUUGAUCUUAAAUGAGAAAAUAAAAGUUUUAAUACGGGUAA